GUUCUAGUGAAUUGUAUCACAUACUAUAAUGUACCAAACCGACAUCGCCGCGGUGUAAAUUCUGUUUUAUUUACUCCAAAAGUAAUUUAAACUGCCAAUUUUUAAAAAAGUUUGAAUUCUCGAAUAGUAAUUAGUGGGCGGUGAUCAAAUUUCCUUGAGAUUGUUACAGGCUCUCACUUACCCAUUGAGCAAGCUAAGCAGAAUUGUAAAAGUUGCGUUCCAAGUCGCAGAAUCGUACGCAGUGGCGUAGUUUAGGGGCGACCGCUCCUUCCCCCUCCCCCUCCCCC